rnacentral:lncRNA from 1 species
AUGCCCGGAGUUCAGCGCAGGGCGCUCGGUGCCCGGAGGCGGCAGGGAGGUUUCGCAAAGGCCGCGGGCGGGGGUCACCGUCCGCCGCGCCAGGGACAGGUCUGUCACCGUCUCCGGGCCCUGCGCCUGGCGCUUUGGCCUUUCUUCGCUGCGGGGACGCCCCUGCAGCCUUUCCCUCCAGGCCCUCCCCAGCCCGGGACUCGAACCGUUUCCCUAUUCCCAGGCCUAGGGGGCCGCCGCCAAUGUGAGGCGUGGGAAAUUAGGGCGUGGAGGGCUGGAAUGAAGCCACAGCCCACAGCGGGUUUUGAGAGAUCCCGGGCCAUAGAAACGGCCCAGAAUGAGCCGUCUCGGGGUCCUGACACCACCGGGUCCCGGCAGGUGGGGUGUCAGACCGUCCCCACAGCGCCUCGGGCUUCCCCGGGCCUUGGCUACCGCCCGCGGGCCUGUGGCGAUGGAGAGGCGCUGCCGGGACACCUUCCCGCACCCCUGGGAGCAGCGCCCGAGGAUCUGAGGAGCCCUUUAUUCUGCGGUUUCGGUUACGUAAACGGAGCCGAGGGAGGAGAUGGGGCUGGACGGAGGCCUGGAAGGGGCAGGAAGUGGAGGGGAGUGAGGCAGCUGCAGCCUGAUGCCGGCACCUUGAACUGGGCUCUCGCGCCUGUCAGCAGCUGGGUGCCAGCGCCUCCCCACCACGUGAUCCUCGGAGGGCCUGUGGAGGAGGGGCGGGCUCCAGGAGCGGCUGCAGAAGGCGAGCUCCAGGAGGGUGUGUGCGUUUCCCGGGAGGGGUCUGCAGCUUUCAUGGUUUCUAAUGGGAUCCCUGAUUCCGAAAGGCGCCGGCAUGAACUCGCUCUGCAUCUUCACAAAGCAUGAAGUCACGGGGACUGGACUGCGUGUGCGUGGAGGAAGCUCCUGGGUCACUGGCUGCAUUUUCAUCUUACAGCUGGGGUUGGUCCAUCUUCCCGAAUUCCCUGAAGUUUCAAUACAUGUUUUAACGAUUAUACAAGGUUAUAAAUGCUCAUUGUGGAAAUGUGCAUAGAAAUGCUCAUAGAAAUGGUCUAAAAGGGGCUUCCUUUUGACCCCUCUACCCUAAUUUGCAAGCCUCACACUGGCAGUGGCUGCCCUAGGCCUGGGAAUCGGUCAACAGGGUUCCUGCCUCGGGCUGGGCAGGGUCUGGAGGGAGGGGCUGCAGGGAGCCUCCAUGGGCACAAAGGCCAAAGCGCCACAUGCAGGGCUUGGGAGAACUUCCUAAAGAAAAUUAGGAUCACCCAUCGCAGAUGGAGACUGGGGAGCUCUCUGGAGAGCAGGCAGUCUGUUCCCUCCCAGGCCUGUGGGAGCCACUCCCUGCAGAGGACGCUGAGAAUUAAAAGCUUCCUUGGGAGACGCCGUGCCAGCAGAGAGCCGAGUCUAUUUAUAGCUGGUGGUGAGACAGGAGGACUGUGUGAGAGGGAUGCCAUCUGGGGCUCUCGGGGGCCCCAGGCCAGUGCUGGUCAGCGCCCUGCAGUACCUGGCCCAGCCUGGUGCCCUCAGGCAGAAGUGCCUUCGGGAAAACACUCUGGGUGAGGAGAGUCAGUCAUUGCCUCUGCCUGGGCUGGGGGAGCCAGAAGGCUGCGCCCAGGAGGGUUGCGGCUGGGUGUCAAGUCCAUCUGAGCCCACAAACCCUCAGCCAGGAGCCAGGAUCAGGCAGCAGAAUCUACACACGCCUAGUUCCUACUGCUGGAGCAAAAGGUGUUUCCUGGGAAGGAAGGGGUGGAGCUGCGUGGGUCAGGCCCAGCCACAUCUGGGGCUCAGACCUGGUCCCCGGCAUCCACGAGCCAAACCCCAAGAUGCCCUGCAUGGAUCCUUCUUCUAGGGAGACCACCUUCUUCUUGGUGUGUGUGUGUUAGGAGGUGGCACAGGGCCAUAACCCACCGCAUGCCCCUGAUAUGAUCUUCCACCCAGGGCAGCCCCCACCCAGGGCAGCCUCCACCCAGAUGAUCCCCCACCCAGGGCAUACCCCACCCAGAUGAUCCCCCACCUGGAUGAUCCCCCACCUGGGGCAGCUCCCACCCAGGUGAUCCUGCACACAGUAGAACACCCACCCAGGGCAGCUUCCACUCUGCAUCUCCCACCCAUGGCACCCCCCACUCUGAUGAUCUCCCACACAGGGCUUCCCUCCUAGGGCAUCAGCAACAGAUAUCCCCCUAAGGUGACAUCCUCCUCCCAAUACCUCUACCUCCCAGAGCUACCCCCUCCCAGAGCCACCCCCUAGGCCAUUCCUUCCCCAAGGCUCCACCACCCAGGACAAUCCCCACAAGGAUUCCCCACCCAGAGAAUCCCCCCCACCUAGGGUAUCCUCCCCACAUGGCAUCUUCACCCAGGGCACUCCCCCACCCAGGGCACCACCCCUCCCAGGGCACCCCCCCACACCCAGCACAUCCCCCUCACCCAGGGCAUCUCCCCACCCAGGGCAUCUUCCCCACAUGGCAUCUCCACCCAGGGAAUCCCCCCCAACCCAGGGCAUCUUCCCCACAUGGCAUCUCCACCCAGGGAAUCCCCCCCAACCCAGGGCUUCUUCCCCACAUGGAAUCUCCACCCAGGGUAUCCCCUUCCCCAGGUAAUCCCCCUCCCCAGCGUAUGCCCACCAGGGGAUUUCCCCCUCCCCAGUGCAUCCCGCCCCCUAGUGCAUCCCCCACCUGCAGGGUUCUUCCACCCAGUGCUUCUCCCUCCCUAGGGCUUCCCCUGCCCAGGGCUUCCCCAUCCUGGGCAUUUCACCUCCAGGCCGUCUCCCCGCCAGGGCCUCCAGGGCACAUCAACUCAGCAGCACCUCCUCAGUGGGGCAGCCCCUCCCCAGCGCUGCAGGGCUCUGCCUGGGAAUGGCUUUGAUUGGCCCUGCUGGAUCCAGGGGAGGGGCGGGUUCUGUGGUCUGCAGCCCCCUGGAAUCACGCCUGGGGAAGGGCAGCACCCCGCAGGAAAGUGGCACGCGGUUCUCAGAAAAAGAAUUAAGAAAAACAUCAGCUGUCCCUAAAUCUUAUUUCCUGAUACGCAAAUUAAGACUGUUCUGGGUUCCAUGUUGCUCCUUUAACUUAAGCACUACUUAAUUGUGAAUUGUGAUUUAAUGUCUGAAUGUCCAAAUGCGUGACUUUCUUUGGGGAAGAAAUAUAAAAAAUCUUUCAAAAGAGUGGAAGCAGGCAAAGCUUUCUGUCUUUUCAUCAUACCAGCUGCCUUCUGCAGCCUCAUCCGUUCAGAAAGCUGGGCUUCUCCCUUCCAUCGUGGAAGGGUGAGCGCCUCCUCUGAGGACCCCAGUUGUGCUGACGUCGUUGAAAAGUGAGGUUCUGGAAGGGAAGGGAGGUUCUUAACCUUUCUUUAAGCCCAGCGGUUAAGGCCACCUGGAGCCCUUUCCCCGUUCAGUGCGGCUCAGGGAAGGGAUUGGUGCGUGCGUUCCUCCGGGCCGGCUCUGUGUCCCACGUCUGACUUCUUGGCAUGAUCAAAGGUGCCCACCCAUGUGGGCUCCACGUGAUCCCCAGUGCAUGGCGUCACAGACCACAUUUCCCAGAUUCCAUAACCUGUAACCCCAACCUGCUCAUUUGUUCACAAACGUCCAAUGUGACCUCUGCCCAGGGAAUGCCACCAACAGCCGCACCUGCCAGGCCACUUCACAUACCCGCUGCCCCCCUCUGGCCAUCAGUCAUCAGUCAGUGGGGACAGGAG